rnacentral:lncRNA from 1 species
CGACGCCUCUACCUAUACCCAUAGGACUUAAAAGCUACAUAUUCUUUUUUCCCUUUUCAUUGAAUUAAUAAAACCUCUGAGGUUCUUUGCGCACCUACUUCCUUCCCGUUACUUUGCUUGAGUUGUUCCUAACACUCAGGGGGUUGUCCGACUUGUUCUUCAAACCACUCACUUUCAAGCUCGAGGGCUUCCCCCAGUUGUCGACCACUGGGUCUCUCACCUCCAGUCGCUGACCUCAGGGUCUCUUGUAAUAUCCCAAAAAUUGAGUGAUAUUAAUUGUGCUAGUUUUUCCAAAAAUUUAAAACUUCUUGUUUGAUUGUGUCAAUCAUAUAAAUACUUGGUCAAAUUUAAGUUCAACCCUCAAUUGUUUUCUCUAAAUUCAAAAGCUAGUAAUUAAAAUUGUGCAUUCAAAUUAAAAACAUGCUUGCAUGAGUGAUUUGGAUUUUCAUUUGAUUUUAUUUGGAUCUCAUGUGUGAGUUUGUAUUUUGAAUCUAAUUCGAAAUACAAACUAAAGCUAGCAUGUAAAUAGUAUAAUAGAAAUCCAACAUGACUAACUCAAACUUGCACCCGAGCUGUUCACAAACUCAACCAGCUCGGUCUGAUCCGCU